CCCAUUAUUGCCAAAUGAAAUAGUAAUCUCAGAAUGAAUUUGUAAUCUCCCCUUUUUAUUUGUUAGCAUUCUAUUACAGUUUCCGUAACUGGGGAGUAAUAAAUUUGUAUUUGUAAUAUUUGUUGAGUAAAACUUAAAGUAAAUAAAAUGAUAAGGAAAACCAUAUUGGCAUUCUUAUACCAAAAGAAAAUUAGCUGGCCUGUUUAAUUAAGUAGCUAGCUGCAGGUCUGUAGCUCCCAGUCUUAAAGAAUUAGAAUGUAGGUUGUCCAUCUGAAUUUUUUCAGACCAGCUACAGAACAGCAGCUAACAAGGAGUGUACAGGUAUAUAAAGCAUAUACAAUUACUAGUAUUUGAAGUCAGUUUUUUUGGAAAAUCAAUUUAACAAUGUACCAUUUCUGUUUGACAAUUUCUCUUCUGUUGGUUUGAAUUCUCUCGUUUAUUUUUAAAAUUUUCUUCAAUGUAUAUGUUCAAAAAGUUAUACCCAUAAUUAUAUUUCUUGUAAAAAAACCAAAAAACAAACAUUUAAAGCUGUUCCAAGAUGUUGGAAAUUGGACAUAAAAAAAAAUGUUUUUAUUGUUUUUGUUCAGAGGUUGAUUACUUAGCACUGUCAAUGCAUUAAAAUAUGUACAUGUACCGGUACCUGUGCUGUACUCGAGUAUAUGACAAAAGUCUACGAUACUUAAAAAUGAGAUUGAUUUUGUAAUUUGUUAUGAUAGUGUACUUUUUUUUUCAUUUUAGUUUUUGUGUUUUGUUAGUUAUUGUGAAAAUGAAAUUUUAGGAGAAUAAAGGUAUGAAAAU
rnacentral:sRNA from 1 species